rnacentral:rRNA from 1 species
AGCGAACGCUGGCGGCAGGCCUAACACAUGCAAGUCGAACGAACUCUUCGGAGUUAGUGGUGGACGGGUGAGUAACACGUGGGAACGUGCCUUUAGGUUCGGAAUAACUCAGGGAAACUUGUGCUAAUACCGAAUGUGCCCUUCGGGGGAAAGAUUUAUCGCCAUUGGAGCGGCCCGCGUCGGAUUAGCUAGUUGGUGGGGUAAAGGCCCACCAAGGCUACGAUCCGUAGCUGGUCUGAGAGGAUGAUCAGCCACAUUGGGACUGAGACACGGCCCAAACUCCUACGGGAGGCAGCAGUGGGGAAUCUUGCGCAAUGGGCGAAAGCCUGACGCAGCCAUGCCGCGUGAAUGAUGAAGGUCUUGGGAUUGUAAAAUUCUUUCACCGGGGACGAUAAUGACGGUACCCGGAGAAGAAGCCCCGGCUAACUUCGUGCCAGCAGCCGCCGUAAGAC